AGCAGUAGCCGCGGUAAUACGAAGGGUGCAAGCGUUACUCGGAAUUACUGGGCGUAAAGCGUGCGUAGGUGGUGGUUUAAGUCCGUUGUGAAAGCCCUGGGCUCAACCUGGGAAUUGCAGUGGAUACUGGGUCACUAGAGUGUGGUAGAGGAUAGUGGAAUUUCCGGCGUAGCAGUGAAAUGCGUAGAGAUCGGAAGGAACAUCUGUGGCGAAGGCGACUAUCUGGGCCAACACUGACACUGAGGCACGAAAGCGUGGGGAGCAAACAGGAUUAGAUACCCGCGUAGUCCCUGUCUCUUAUAC
rnacentral:rRNA from 1 species